GAUGAACGCUGGCGGCGUGCCUAACACAUGCAAGUCGAACGGAGAUUACGGACGGAAGUUUUCGGAUGGAAGACUGUAAUUUUUAGUGGCGGACGGGUGAGUAACGCGUGGGCAACCUGCCCUAUACAGGGGGAUAGCAGCUGGAAACGGCUGGUAAGACCGCAUAAGUCGGCGAGACCGCAUGGUUUUGCCGGGAAAUGAGCAAUCAGGUAUAGGAUGGGCCCGCGUCCGAUUAGCCAGUUGGCAGGGUAAAAGCCUACCAAAGCAACGAUCGGUAGCCGGACUGAGAGGUCGGACGGCCACAUUGGGACUGGGACACGGCCCAAACUCCUACGGGAGGCAGCAGUGGGGGAUAUUGCACAAUGGAGGAAACUCUGAUGCAGCGACGCCGCGUGAGUGAAGAAGUAUUUCGGUAUGUAAAGCUCUAUCAGCAGGGAAGAUGAUGACGGUACCUGACUAAAAAGCCCCGGCUAACUACGUG
rnacentral:rRNA from 1 species